GCGCCCAUUACUGCAGCAUGGGGAGGGAGGGAACGAGGCAUGUGUCACCUUGGAUCACGGGAACUUUCUCUUUCUCCCUCCGCCUUGUAGAUAAGACAGAUACAAACACAUACCACAUGGCAUGCACACACAUGUGUGCACACGCACAAUCAGUUAAUGACACGAGGUGGGAAAUAUUCAGAGGUCAAAAACUAGCACCAAGAUGGUUUAUUGCAUGGUGCCAACUUGUGGUUAAGUUGGUCCACACAAAAACACAGAGAGAGAAAGCAGGCACUGGAACAGAAGCUGCGUGACUCUCGAGGGCUGGCUUUGCUCACGGUCCCUGAGGUCACUUGCCCAUCUUGUCAGGCUACUUUCAACACCAGAUGUGGUUUACCGCAUGAGGAUUCUGUACUACUAGAUUCUUGAUGCCUAACCUUUCUCUGUUCUCAUCACGAAAAUGUGUGGCUCAUCACAAUAACCCCCUUUACUGAGCAAUAAUUGAGCCGAGCGCUGGACACCCAUUGGCUCACCCAGCCUCACGGGAGUCCCACGCCGGGGACUGUUACUGUUACAUGUCUGAGCCAUUGCGGGCACAGAGAGGGGAAGUGGUUUUGCUCUGUCACACAGCUCCCGACUCGUAGGGCUGUCAACUGCACACAUCUUCUUGACACCCUGCAGACCUGCCUGUUUGGGCUGGCCCCUCCUGGGAACCGAGAGCAACCACAAUAGCUCCAUUCGUGAGAAGAGGGCCUUGGGAUGGGAUGGCAGGAUGUUUGGGGGUGGCUCGGCUUGGCCGGAGACUCUUGGGAGCAUUUGCCUUCCGCACGGACAGCCGGUCGUGGUCCUGUCAUUCUGUUUUACAAAUGAGACUGGUGAGAUACCGAACCUUUUAAUUCACCCACAGCUACUAAAUGGCGAGCCUUAAUUGGGAGCCCAAGGUGCGUCUCCAGAACUCCUGUCCCAGCACCUAACAGGCAGAUUAGCACCACUGCUGUGGCACCCGUGGGUGACAGUUUCAGCUCUGCAACUGAACGUUUAUCAGUCUGCUCCAGGCUCUUAUCUGGCGUCUGCUUGGCCACGCCUCGCUUUAUUUCCUGUGUGAGAUGGAAUUCUCAUGACCUCGGCCUUCUAAGAAAUGAACCUCAUACCGGGAAGGUGCUCACCUCUCCGUUAUUCAUCUCCCGAGUGUUCCCUUCAUGCUGGCUGCUGCCAUGGGUCACAGAGCAGGAGACCUGCCAGGGGGAGCGGUGCAUGCUUUGAGCCCAGUGUUCUGGGAGACCAAAAGUUUGAGUCUACCCUGGAAAGCUUAACAAGACCCUGUCUCAAAAUAAAAAGGCUGGGGAUGUAGCUCAGUGUAAAGGCCCUGGGUUCAGUCUCCAGUGCCAUUGCCAAAACCAAAGCAAACCAAAACAAAUCCCUCUCGCACUUGUUUCCCUGUGUAAAAUAAGCCUGCUGUGCGUGUUCAUAACUCCUCUCCCCUAACUAUAGAAGAGUUUCCUGCAUGAAUGUUUACUCAACUUCCGGAUCUGUGACUCACUGUCACCUGCUGUGUCAGGGACUAUCCUUAUGAUUUUUAUUUUCCUUUCCUCCAACUUUUAUGAGGAUAUUACCAUAUCCUCAUAAUUCUAUUUCCCAAACCUUAGGGGCCAGAUGCAUUUUGUGAGCUAUUUUCUCCCCCAGGUUUUAGAUGUGUUUUAUUUAUAGUAAACAGCAGCUAACACUUUACAACUCCUUCCAGAACUAUGUGGGCAUUCAUACCACCUGCUGGCGAGACCUUUAAGUAAUAAACUUACAGGGACCUAGCUCUGGAGUCUAGUUUUAUCCCCCCCCCCAAAUGAUCUUUGUGGAUUUUAGAACUCAGGGUAAGGAAUCAUGAAUAGCAAUUGUAUCUGCUUAGGGUUUAACACUUGGAAAAGUACUGCAAAGCAUUAAAACGAAAAUAUUUAUGUACAGGAGUUACCAGAAUUCCCAUCCAUCUAGGCAGCAUUAUCCAACAAUGUCAUUGAGUGUCUGUUUUAUAUCUGGGUCAGUGGUUUUCAACAGGGGUACAUUUUGUUCCUCAAGGAACAUCUGGCAAUAUCUGGAGAUAUUUUGCUUCUCACAGCUGGAGCCAAGUGCGAAGCAUCUCAUGAGUGAGUGAGCUGACUGUGGAGGGCAGGACAAGGAGAUAUUCACCCUGAAUGUCAGUAACGCCAUGAUUAGGCACCGUGGUCUAGGUUCUCUGCAUGCACCCAUGAGCAGAGCAGUAAAGAAGUAGCUGAUUCCUGUGCAUUUGUAAAAUAUGGGUUAUAUAGAGACACAGGCUAAUAUAAGUAUUUUACCUGUCUGACAUCUUUCAGUAUAUUGCUUUGACUUAAUAUGGCUGCAUACAAAUUUUACAUUAUCAAAAACUCUUCAAAUGCAUAAUUUUUAUGCCUAUAGCAUCUUCUUUCUGAAAGAUUACUUUUAGCCAUUCUUUUAAAGGAAAACCAUCGUUUACCCCUUUAUUUAAAAUAACACCAAGAUGGGCAUCCUUAAAGUCUCAUUAUUUUAUGUUGCUUAUCUUUGUGGUCUUGGGUUUAAUCCCCCUCAAAGGUGUUAGUUAAGAACUCUUAAGACGGAACUAUACCCCCAACCCUUUUUAUUUUUAUUUUUGAUAGGGUCUUGCUGCAUUGCCCAGAUUGCUCUCAAACUUCUCAUAGUCUUUGGCUGUUGCUGUUUUUUGAGACAGAGUCUUGCUAUGCAGUUCAGGCUGGAGCUCACUGUAAUCCUCCUGCCUCAGCCUCCUCAGUGCUGGGAUUACACCACAUUGGCAACUUUGUGAUCUCUUUCCUCAGGCUCCUUAAAUACCUGGCAUUCCCACUGUUGAUGGCAUCUGAUUGACUUCACUGGCCUCUAAGGCUUGGGAUUUAUUUUAGAAGUAGAGUUUUAGAAAUUAUUAUUAAAAAUUUUUUUUUGGUAGCCCUGGGGUUGGAACCUGGAGCUUCUCACGUUAAGCCCAUGUUUUAUCACUGAGCUACACAUCCCAGCCUGGGGAAAAAAAGUUACCUGAGCUCAAGUGUACAAACUCUAGGAAAUCCUCAGCACACACACGGCAGGCUUGCUGGCCCCCUAAGUGUCUUCGGAGCAGGAGCUUACAUUUAAAAAUCAGAGUCUUCCUGUGUGUAAUCACCAUCAUGGCUGGAUCCGGCUGUGAACAGCACCCCUUAAAAUCCCGGCCCUCACAAGCAGACGCACUGGGAACGGUUCAAAGGCUGGAGAGCCAAACACACCAAGGAGGAUUAACUCACAGAAAAGAUGAAAAGGGCCCAGUGGGCACAGUGCGUGAGGGCGGAGGAGGAACCGUGCCUGAAUUGGCAGAUUCCAGCGCAGGGGAAGCUUCUUUGGGCGAUUCUGUGUGGGAACCAUCCAAGGAGGAAAUGAACGAAUUUCUACUGCAGCGUGAGCAGGUGACACAGCACAGGACUAGACUAACAAGCCUGCGGGACAACGUGAACCUGUGUUCUAGCAAGUGUGCAAGAGAACACGUUCAAAGUUAUGCAUUCAUGACGAACUCUUCUCGGGCUGUCACAUCUGGAGGCUCCUGGUGUCCACCUGCUUGGCACUGGUGACACGCAACACCUGACUUUUUACACAAUGUUUAUGGAUGAGAUGGAGUGGAGGAGGGGAAGAAGAAAGUUGCAAACAAAAGAAGUCAUGAGUCAGCGCCAUUCAGUCCCUGAGUCAUCUGCGGUUGGGACUUGAGCACCCAGGCGAAGUGUGUGCAUGUACACAGCCAUUCAUGCAUGAAACAUGCGGUACACGAAACAGCCCUGUACAUCCCCGACACGCUGCGUACACUGCACAGCACACACUACCCCCAACACCACACUGUGUGUGCACUGUUACACAACAGACAGCCACACACAUGCCAUGCACACUGAGCAACACAGAGAACACACACACAGGACACUGAACACACAGCCACACUGCACAUAUGGCACACACACAGCUUGCACACAGCGUAUAUGCAUAACACACACACACACAUCUACACACAGAAACUCUAGUUUGCGUUUUUUUAGCCACCCCUGAAAUCCUGCUUUAGCUUAGAAAUCAUUGCAAGAAAUAAUAAGGGGAGACUUUCAGGUUGUGCAUUUCAAACUUCUGAACAGGUCCUCGGGUCUUUAUGGGUUUGCCGCUGUAGUUGGGGGGUCUGGGGGUCCGUGGGUUUUGUCCCUGCAGAGCCUGUGAAGACCCCACCCUACAGCAGCUGAGUCAAGACUCCUAAGUGGGGCUCGGCCAGGGCGGAUUAAAAGGGUCCUGGGGCCUCUUGUGCCACCACCAGCCCCCUGUGGGGACCCCCGGCUUCACUCCGGCUGGGGCUGGUGUCCAUCUUGCACUCACUGUAUCCCAGGUGACGGGGUGGACACUGGGAGAUUCCAUGCAUUUCCCUUUCAAAAAGGUUCCUGAUUUGCCUUCCACCACUUUCAGCACAGGUAGCUUCGGGUGUGGACAGGGUGUCUUCACUUUGGGGAUGGACGCUGACCCCAGGCUUGGCAAACUGAUCAGUUUGUGAUCAGCACAUUCGUCAGGUGAGACCUGAAUCCGAGACUUUCCCCGAAAUGAGUGGCAAAGGGAUUGAAAACAGGAUGUAAAUGUGAAGUUUUGAAGCCAACAGAGAAGAAAGCAGAAAAAGAGAGGGUCCAGUGGACACUGUUCAAGGUCCUGGAUCCAGCUGAGCCUGACACCCUCACUUGGGCAUCAGUCAAUAACAAGUCCAUAAAUCUCUAUUUUGCUUCAACCAGUCAAACUUUAGGAUGUGCAACACAGAGAUUCAUGUAAAACUUCAAUUUCCAGUAAUCCUGGGCAGUGGCUCUUACUGGCCACCUCAUGUUACAGCUAUUUUUUGGACUUUGACGUUCAGGGAGUUCAAAUCCCCCAGUGAGUCUCGGGUAAGCUCACACUGGAGAAUGACUCACGCAGGGUAUAGUGAAUCUGCUGCUCCUUAGGACGGCAUCGCUGCACUAGAAACAUCUUUUUCGCUUUUUUUGUUGACUUUUAUUUUUCUUAUACAUAAAAAAAUGAAUCUAGAACUUAACACAGGUCAGGCCAAGGAGGUUUAAAAUCCAAACCCAGGCCUCUCGGGUGGGGAGCUUCGAUCAGAGAGCAGCCGGUUUGGAUCUGACCCCAGCCCUGGGCGAGCAGCUGUGGGUGCUGGAGGCCUGUGGCCAGGCAGGAUGACCCCGGCUAGGUCUUCUGUGGGAUGUGGAAAAGACAGAUGUGUGUCCCCGGGCUGGUCACUUGUGCCACUUUCAUGUCCUCCUUUGGUGGCUUUAGGAGGGAGAUACGAUGGCGAGUGACAAAGAGACAGGGAAAAACAGCAAUGAGGAAACCAAGGCGUGCAGGACCGACAGACAGCCGGCCACAAGACAAGCGGAAGUGAGGGCCAGCUCUGCAUCUGGAGCUGCCUGGACAUUGGGACCGUGCUGGGACACAGGCCCCGGGAUGGUCCCCCACAGGGCGCUUACAUCCCGGCCAGGAAGACAGCUGCCCAGUAACUGAAGGACAGGUGUGCCCUGCCAGGGAGGGGUCAGCUCUGCAAGCAAUCAGGGCAGGGAGAACUGGGGCGCUGAAUGGAAAACUGCCAGGAGGCUGCGAAGGGGCGAAGGGGAGCCUCAGGGGCUCUCAGGCCAGGGCUGCACCCUGGGCACGCAUGCGCCCUGGGGUGUGCCCAGGGGGCCUCAGCCGGGAGUUUCUCUGCAGCCCUCCGCACCGGGCCUGGGCUUCAAAGAAGCUGGGAGGCUCUGCGUGGCAGAGGCCAUCAGAGGUGAGGGAACCCAAACCUGCCCUCCUCUCAUUUGGGUACAGGAGCAGAGUUCUGGCCGCAGGAUCCAGCCUGAGAGUUACAGCGCUGUCACCAAAAACAGGCUGCGCACCUUCGCUCAUGGUGCAUUUAUGGUCACCUUGAUUCUCCUGAAGAAAGCGUGGUCAUUAACGAAAUCAAAGAAAUCAGAGAAAGCAAAG